CUUCUUAUGAGGAGCUGGGGUUUCUCCACCAGCCACCGGGGGCUUUCUUUAGCUUCUGGAUCUCCAGGCAUGUCUGGGGUUGCUGGGGAGACUGGAGCAGUAGAAAUGGAUCAAGUGAAUGUGCCCGGGUCCUGGAGGUGGCCUUUCCAUGAAAUAGCCACAGGUCCAGUUCUUUGGGCAAUCCCUCUGUGCUCUGCAUGCACCAUCUCAUUGGACCCUCACAACAGCCCUGUGGGGCAGUACCAUCAUUGCACCCAUUUUACAGAUGAACAAACUGAGGCUCAGAGAGGUGGAGUGGCAUGCCUGAGGUCCCAUCGCUGUCAGGCUGACCCACUGAAGAGUGGUAGCCAUUGGGAUCUGUUGUCUAUUUGUUGGAGAAUGAAGCUUCCUAUUGAUUUUGUUCCUCCAGAAAAUGGUCAGCAGGUAGCCGACGUGCAAGUCAAUGCCUGAAGAGGGCAGAUGAGGAGGACUGCUGUGAUGCCGCCAACUGAUGAAUUUCCAGUUGCUUGACCAUGUUUCCUUGCAGUAUCUGCCCCUGGGAAGAUGCUGCCACCAUCCAACUGGACUGAAAGCCUGAGACCAGAAGAAACGCUCUCAGCCACUCCUUGCCUUCACAGUUGAGACAGCAGUCUAUGCUCAUCACCCGUCCCCCUACCCCCACCCCCAACAAUAAAGGCCACUUCUGCAUC